rnacentral:rRNA from 1 species
UACGUAGGGUGCAAGCGUUAGUCGGAAUUACUGGGCGUAAAGCGUGCGCAGGCGGUUUUGUAAGUCUGAUGUGAAAUCCCCGGGCUCAACCUGGGAAUUGCAUUGGAGACUGCAAGGCUAGAAUCUGGCAGAGGGGGGUAGAAUUCCACGUGUAGCAGUGAAAUGCGUAGAUAUGUGGAGGAACACCGAUGGCGAAGGCAGCCCCCUGGGUCAAGAUUGACGCUCAUGCACGAAAGGCGUGGGGAGCAAACAGGAUUAACGAA